rnacentral:rRNA from 1 species
GGAGGGGGCGAGCGUUGUUCGGAAUUACUGGGCGUAAAGGGCGCGUAGGCGGCCUUUUAAGUUAGGCGUGAAAGCCCCGGGCUCAACCUGGGAACUGCGCUUAAGACUGGAGAGCUAGAAAACGGAAGAGGUGAGUGGAAUUCCCAGUGUAGAGGUGAAAUUCGUAGAUAUUGGGAAGAACACCAGUGGCGAAAGCGGCUACCUGGUCCGGAUUUGAGCCUGAGGCGCGAAAG